CUCGCCGUUUCUUCCUCCCCGCGCGCCCGACAACCAUUAGCCCUAACCUCCUUCCCCGAGCGGUUUCCUCCCCCUCCCGCGACAAAACCCCUCGUGUCUUCCUCGCCCUCGCCGAUCGCAGCCAUGCCCUAAUCGGCCGAGCCGUUUCUCCUCAGCCCUAGUUCUUUGGCCGAUUCCUCCUCCUCUCUAGGCUCGCGACACCGCCGGCCUCCCUUCUGCCCUAGCGCCGGCUGCCACCACCUCUGUGCCCUAGCAUCUCCACCGACGCCGCCUCCCGAUUCCUCUCCCCUCCUCUGGUCUGACGAGACAUCGUCGGCCCCUCCUUUGUGCUUGUGCCCUAGCGAGCCCGACGCCACUUCCUCGCCACUGCCGCUCCUCUUCCCCCAAGUGCCGGCGACGAUCUGCCCCCGCUGACUUACAUCGCCAGCGACGCCGAGCACCCCUACACAGCGCCGCUGCCGCACGGAGGUGCCGCCGGCAUCCCCUGUGCCCUAACACCCGCAGACGACCGCUCCCUCUGCUGUGAUUUGGCAGCACCACUGACAACCCGAUUUCCUCUUCCUCCUUGUUCUUCUCGACACCGAUCAACUCUCGAGAGCAGGCAGCCGGUCUCCUCUUCGUUACUGCCGGUCUCCCUUCUUCCCUCUGUGACUCUGUCGACCACUGGAUUGGGCGACACCAGUCGAUCUUCUCCCAUUGCUGCUCCCUCUGCCUUGUUCAUCACCGGUGCAGCAACUAGGUUUCAUCAGAGAGGAAACCUUGAGUCAGAUUUGAGGGGCGGCUGUGAAUUGAAGGAAGGAUUACAAUGGACUUUUGUGUGCUGUGGAUUAACAGGAGAGGUUCCGGAUUUAGGGUUGAUGCUGUCAGGAGAGAGUUCUAAUUGCUAGUCCCCUGCAUCCACGAGGCUGUUUAUUUAUCUUUUAGCUUUAUGUACUAGACUAUGUUUUGAACUUGUUAUGUUUUGAAUACUUUGGAUCCGGUAUGGAUUGCUUUAUUUAGUCGAUGACUUUCAUUC